rnacentral:rRNA from 1 species
ACGAACCGUGCGAACGUUGUUCGGAAUCAUUGGGCUUAAAGGGCGCGUAGGCGGGCUGGCCAGUCCGGGGUGAAAGCCCACGGCUCAACCGUGGAAGUGCCUUGGAUACUGCCAGUCUCGAGGGAGGUAGGGGCGUGCGGAACUUCCGGUGGAGCGGUGAAAUGCGUAGAUAUCGUAAGGAACGCCAGUGGCGAAAGCGAGCUUCUAGAUAGUUACUGACGCUGAGGCACGAAAGCUGGGGGAGCAAACGGGA